rnacentral:rRNA from 1 species
UACGGGGGGGAGCAAGCGUUGUUCGGAUUUACUGGGCGUAAAGGGCGCGUAGGCGGCACCGCAAGUCGACUGUGAAAUCUCCGGGCUUAACCCGGAAAGGUCAGCCGAUACUGCGGGGCUAGAGUGCAGAAGGGGCAACUGGAAUUCUCGGUGUAGCGGUGAAAUGCGUAGAUAUCCGGAGGAACACCGGUGGCGAAGGCGGCUUCCUGGACCGACACUGACGCUGAGGCGCGAAAGCUAGGGGAGCAAACGGG